UCUUGAUUUUUAAGAAUGUCAUCUGGCUGAAGCAUUCAGUUUGAACAAAAACUAGAGCAACAGAAAAGUGAUACGACUGUAACUCCAAUUGAACAAAUGGCUUUCGCUUCUCUUCAGUCGCAUAAUGAGAUAAGAUGUAUGUUAGAACAAGCAGAAGAAAACCUGACCUUCCUCAACAAACGACUUGAAACUGUGGAAGACAAACAACAACAG